CCUACGGGAGGCAGCAGUGAGGAAUAAUGGACAAUGGCCGAGAGGCUGAACCAGCCAAGUCGCGUGAGGGAAGAAUGUCCUAUGGAUUGUAAACCUCUUUUGUCAGGGAGCAAAGUCACACACGAGUGGGUGUUGGAGAGUACCUGAAGAAAAAGCAUCGGCUAACUCCGGGCCAGCAGCGGCGGUAAUACGGAGGAUGCGUGGGUUAUCCGGAUGUAUGGGGUUAAAGGGGUGCGUAGGCGGGUUAUCAAGUCAGUGGUAAAAUCGUGGAGCUCACCUCCAACCAGCCGGUGAAACUGAGGAUCUUGAGUGGGCGAGAGGUAUGCGGAAUGCGUGGUGUAGCGGUGAAAUGCAUAGAUAUCGCGCAGAACUCCGAUUGCGAAGGCAGCAUACCGGCGCCCGACUGACGCUGAAGCACGAAAGCGUGGGGAUCGAACAGGAUUAGAUACCCCUGUAGUC
rnacentral:rRNA from 1 species